GGAAUAUUCCACAAUGGGCGAAAGCCUGAUGGAGCGACGCCGCGUGAGUGAAGAAGGGCUUCGGCUCGUAAAGCUCUUUUCUAGAGGACGAAUGGCGCAUUGGAUGCGCAGGGCCGGUACUCUGGGAAUAAGCCCCGGCUAACUACGUGCCAGCAGCCGCGGUAAUACGUAGGUGGCAAGCGUUGUCCGGAAUUAUUGGGCGUAAAGGGAGCGCAGGCGGGACGGUAAGUCCAAAUUAAAAGUGCAGGAGUAAUGCCUGUGAUGGUUUGGAAACUAUCGUUCUUGAGAGCAGGAGAGGCAAGCGGAAUUCCCAGUGUAGCGGUGAAAUGCGUAGAUAUUGGGAGGAACACCAGUGGCGAAGGCGGCUGUCUGGUCUGUAACUGACGCUGAGGCUCGAAAGCAUGGGUAGCGAACA
rnacentral:rRNA from 1 species